rnacentral:rRNA from 1 species
UACGUAGGGUGCAAGCGUUGUCCGGAAUUAUUGGGCGUAAAGAGCUCGUAGGCGGUUUGUCGCGUCGAAUGUGAAAACCCGGGGCUCAACUCCGGGCCUGCAUUCGAUACGGGCAGACUAGAGUUCGGUAGGGGAGUCUGGAAUUCCUGGUGUAGCGGUGAAAUGCGCAGAUAUCAGGAGGAACACCGAUGGCGAAGGCAGGUCUCUGGGCCGAUACUGACGCUGAGGAGCGAAAGCGUGGGGAGCGAACAGG